rnacentral:lncRNA from 1 species
CGAUUUCUUUUCACCAUCGAAUCCAAGUAGAAAAUCAAUUUUGUGUGUUUCUAUUCACAUUUUUUUGUUUGCUUGUGGUAUGGCGCCGACGCGGAAUCUUUUGUUAUUUCAGUGAAACAAUUUCCACCAUGAAAAAAUCUUUAAAUUUUGGAACUGGUAAUUCACUUUCAUAACGAGGACCUGGAGCAAAGUUAUCUUAUUUCUUAAGUCCCCAUCUUGAAAAAAAUACGAAUUGACAAGCUUCACUUGAAAUAUAACUUUACCCGAGCAGAAGUCCGCUUAUAGUAUUUCGAAUAUUAUUUCAGGAAAAUAGAAUAUUCAAAACUCCUACCAUGAACAUCGAGCAAUUUCACCUCCGCUCGCGGCAAAAAAACUCAACAACACUCCCCCUCCUUCCCAAAAAA